rnacentral:rRNA from 1 species
UCGAGCGCGCCCUUCGGGGUGAGCGGCGGACGGGUUAGUAACGCGUGGGAAUAUGCCCAAAGGUACGGAAUAGCCUCUGGAAACGGAGAGUAAUACCGUAUGUGCCCUUCGGGGGAAAGAUUUAUCGCCUUUGGAUUAGCCCGCGUUAGAUUAGGUAGUUGGUGGGGUAAUGGCCUACCAAGCCUACGAUCUAUAGCUGGUUUUAGAGGAUGAUCAGCAACACUGGGACUGAGACACGGCCCAGACUCCUACGGGAGGCAGCAGUGGGGAAUCUUGGACAAUGGGGGCAACCCUGAUCCAGCCAUGCCGCGUGAGUGAUGAAGGCCUUAGGGUCGUAAAGCUCUUUCGCCUGUGAAGAUAAUGACGGUAGCAGGUAAAGAAACCCCGGCUAACUCCGUGCCAGCAGCCGCGGUAAUACGGAGGGGGUUAGCGUUGUUCGGAAUUACUGGGCGUAAAGCGCACGUAGGCGGAUCGGAAAGUUGGGGGUGAAAUCCCGGGGCUCAACCCCGGAACUGCCUCCAAAACUAUCGGUCUAGAGUUCGAGAGAGGUGAGUGGAAUUCCGAGUGUAGAGGUGAAAUUCGUAGAUAUUCGGAGGAACACCAGUGGCGAAGGCGGCUCACUGGCUCGAUACUGACGCUGAGGUGCGAAAGUG